rnacentral:rRNA from 1 species
UACGUAGGGUGCGAGCGUUGUCCGGAAUUAUUGGGCGUAAAGAGCUUGUAGGCAGUUUGUCGCGUCUGCCGUGAAAAUUCGAGGCUCAACCUCGAACUUGCGGUGGGUACGGGCAGACUAGAGUGUGGUAGGGGGGACUGGAAUUCCUGGUGUAGCGGUGAAAUGCGCAGAUAUCAGGAGGAACACCGAUGGCGAAGGCAGGUCUCUGGGCCACUACUGACGCUGAGAAGCGAAAGCAUGGGGAGCGAACAGG